ACUCCUACGGGAGGCAGCAGUGGGGAAUAUUGCACAAUGGGCGCAAGCCUGAUGCAGCCAUGCCGCGUGUAUGAAGAAGGCCUUCGGGUUGUAAAGUACUUUCAGCAGUGAGGAAGGCGGAGUCGUUAAUAGCGGCCUCGUUUGACGUUAGCUGCAGAAGAAGCACCGGCUAACUCCGUGCCAGCAGCCGCGGUAAUACGGAGGGUGCGAGCGUUAAUCGGAAUUACUGGGCGUAAAGCGCAUGCAGGUGGUUUGUUAAGUCAGAUGUGAAAGCCCGGGGCUCAACCUCGGAAUUGCAUUUGAAACUGGCAGACUAGAGUACUGUAGAGGGGGGUAGAAUUUCAGGUGUAGCGGUGAAAUGCGUAGAGAUCUGAAGGAUACCGGUGGCGAAGGCGGCCCCCUGGACAGAUACUGACACUCAGAUGCGAAAGCGUGGGGAGCAAACAGGAUUAGAUACCCUGGUAGCACAGAG
rnacentral:rRNA from 1 species